UGGGGAAUUUUGGACAAUGGGGGAAACCCUGAUCCAGCCAUCCCGCGUGUGCGAUGAAGGCCUUCGGGUUGUAAAGCACUUUUGGCAGGAAAGAAACGUCAUGGGUUAAUACCCCGUGAAACUGACGGUACCGGCAGAAUAAGCACCGGCUAACUACGUGCCAGCAGCCGCGGUAAUACGUAGGGUGCAAGCGUUAAUCGGAAUUACUGGGCGUAAAGCGUGCGCAGGCGGUUCGGAAAGAAAGAUGUGAAAUCCCAGAGCUCAACUUUGGAACUUCAUUUUUAACUACCGGGCUAGAGUGUGUCAGAGGGAGGUGGAAUUCCGCGUGUAGCAGUGAAAUUCGUAGAUAUGCGGAGGAACACCGAUGGCGAAGGCAGCCUCCUGGGAUAACACUGACGCUCAUGCACGAAAGCGUGGGGAGCAAACAGG
rnacentral:rRNA from 1 species